UUUCCGUUGGUGAACCAGCGGAAGGAUCAUUACAGAGAUCGUGCCCUUCGGGGUAUACCUCCCACCCUGUUUUAUUUACGUAUGUUGAUUUGGCGGGCCGCCUCCGGGCUCUCGGCUUCGGACGAGGUGUGCCCGCCAGAGAACCCACAACCCUGUGUUUAGUGUCGUCUGAGUAUUAUCAAAUAAGUUAAAACUUUCAACAACGGAUCUCUUGGUUCUG
rnacentral:misc_RNA from 1 species